CGAUAUCGACGUAGUUUGAUCAUGGCUACAGAACGAACGCUGGCGGCAGGCCUAACACAUGCAAGUCGAGCGAUCCUUUCGGGGAUAGCGGCGGACGGGUGAGUAACGCGUGGGAACGUACCCUUUGCUACGGAAUAGCCCCGGGAAACUGGGAGUAAUACCGUAUGUGCCCUCUGGGGGAAAGAUUUAUCGGCAAAGGAUCGGCCCGCGUUGGAUUAGGUAGUUGGUGGGGUAAUGGCCUACCAAGCCGACGAUCCAUAGCUGGUUUGAGAGGAUGAUCAGCCACACUGGGACUGAGACACGGCCCAGACUCCUACGGGAGGCAGCAGUGGGGAAUCUUAGACAAUGGGGGCAACCCUGAUCUAGCCAUGCCGCGUGAGUGAUGAAGGCCCUAGGGUUGUAAAGCUCUUUCAGCUGGGAAGAUAAUGACGGUACCAGCAGAAGAAGCCCCGGCUAACUCCGUG
rnacentral:rRNA from 1 species